rnacentral:rRNA from 1 species
AGGGUGACAGCCCCGUACACAAAAAUGCACAUGCUGUGAGCUCGAUGAGUAGGGCGGGACACGUGGUAUCCUGUCUGAAUAUGGGGGGACCAUCCUCCAAGGCUAAAUACUCCUGACUGACCGAUAGUGAACCAGUACCGUGAGGGAAAGGCGAAAAGAACCCCGGCGAGGGGAGUGAAAAAGAACCUGAAACCGUGUACGUACAAGCAGUGGGAGCACGCUUAGGCGUGUGACUGCGUACCUUUUGUAUAAUGGGUCAGCGACUUAUAUUCUGUAGCAAGGUUAACCGAAUAGGGGAGCCGAAGGGAAACCGAGUCUUAACUGGGCGUUAAGUUGCAGGGUAUAGACCCGAAACCCGGUGAUCUAGCCAUGGGCAGGUUGAAGGUUGGGUAACACUAACUGGAGGACCGAACCGACUAAUGUUGAAAAAUUAGCGGAUGACUUGUGGCUGGGGGUGAAAGGCCAAUCAAACCGGGAGAUAGCUGGUUCUCCCCGAAAGCUAUUUAGGUAGCGCCUCGUGAAUUCAUCUCCGGGGGUAGAGCACUGUUUCGGCAAGGGGGUCAUCCCGACUUACCAACCCGAUGCAAACUGCGAAUACCGGAGAAUGUUAUCACGGGAGA